AUGCAAAGUACUUUAACCACCGUGUUGUAUCUCCUAGGUGACGCCCCGCCAACCCUCACGGUCCUGCCCCCCUCCAGUGUACAGCUGCAGCAGGAGAAGGUCACACUCGUGUGUCUGGCCAACAAGGGCUUCCCCUCAGACUGGAAGCUGAGCUGGAAGGUGGCUGGUAGCAGCUGGAGCUCGGGGGUGAGCCAGAGCUCCGGGCUUCUGCAGAAGGACGGCCUCUACAGCUGGAGCAGCACCCUGACCCUCCAGAAGGAGGAGUGGCUGAAGAACACAGUGACCUGUGAGGCCACCAAGGACUCCCAGUCUCCUGUCACACAG